ACAUGAACCACUGGCUGAGAAACAUCCUGAUUCUGACUCUCUGGCUAGAGUGUAAAGGAGAAGACAGAGUGACCCAGCCAGCAGGAGAUGUCAUUGCUGCUGAAGGAGACACAGUUACACUUGGCUGUACUUUUGAGACGAGUUAUCCUGGUCCAACUUUGUUCUGGUACAAACAGGAGAGAAACAACAGCCCCAAAUUCAUACUGAACCGCAUUCAACGGGAUGAAGGGAAAACAGCAGACGAGUUUAAGGAGAGAUUUUCAUCCACACUGGAUUCCACCUCAAGAUCAGUUCCUCUGAAGAUCCAGAAGCUUCAGCUGUCUGACUCUGCUGUGUACUACUGUGCUCUGCAGCCCACAGUGACAGGAAACACCAAAACUCUGUACAAAAACCUUUGGAGCAAAGACAACAGAAUACUCCACAACGUCCACUAGAGGGAGUCACACACUGUUAAACUUCAGUGGUUUAUGAUAUAGUCAGGAUUUGUUUUAGUGGUGAUAGAAGCAACAUUAAAUGAAGCACCACAGAUAAAACACAAUAAACAAAUAACAGAACUUGAAUAUGUUCAUAGUAUUUUCAAAGUAUCUCCAAUACUACUCCAGCAGAUUGUUUUCACAGACAAUUGAAAUGCUUGGUGAUUGUAACCAUUGCAAGCUUUAAGCUGUGCUGCCUG